CCUAAUACAUGCAAGUAGAACGCUGAAGAGAGGAGCUUGCUCUUCUUGGAUGAGUUGCGAACGGGUGAGUAACGCGUAGGUAACCUGCCUUGUAGCGGGGGAUAACUAUUGGAAACGAUAGCUAAUACCGCAUAACAAUGGAUGACUCAUGUCAUUUAUUUGAAAGGGGCAAAUGCUCCACUACAAGAUGGACCUGCGUUGUAUUAGCUAGUAGGUGAGGUAACGGCUCACCUAGGCGACGAUACAUAGCCGACCUGAGAGGGUGAUCGGCCACACUGGGACUGAGACACGGCCCAGACUCCUACGGGAGGCAGCAGUAGGGAAUCUUCGGCAAUGGGGGCAACCCUGACCGAGCAACGCCGCGUGAGUGAAGAAGGUUUUCGGAUCGUAAAGCUCUGUUGUAAGUCAAGAACGAGUGUGAGAGUGGAAAGUUCACACUGUGACGGUAGCUUACCAGAAAGGGACGGCUAACUACGUGCCAGCAGCCGCGGUAAUACGUAGGUCCCGAGCGUUGUCCGGAUUUAUUGGGCGUAAAGCGAGCGCAGGCGGUUUGAUAAGUCUGAAGUUAAAGGCUGUGGCUCAACCAUAGUUCGCUUUGGAAACUGUCAAACUUGAGUGCAGAAGGGGAGAGUGGAAUUCCAUGUGUAGCGGUGAAAUGCGUAGAUAUAUGGAGGAACACCGGUGGCGAAAGCGGCUCUCUGGUCUGUAACUGACGCUGAGGCUCGAAAGCGUGGGGAGCGAACAGGAUUAGAUACCCUGGUAGUCCACGCCGUAAACGAUGAGUGCUAGGUGUUGGAUCCUUUCCGGGAUUCAGUGCCGCAGCUAACGCAUUAAGCACUCCGCCUGGGGAGUACGACCGCAAGGUUGAAACUCAAAUGA
rnacentral:rRNA from 1 species